GAACGCACAUUGCGCCCCUUGGUAUUCCAUGGGGCAUGCCUGUUCGAGCGUCAUUUGUACCCUCAAGCUUUGCUUGGUGUUGGGUGUUUGUCCUCUCCCUCGCGUUUGGACUCGCCUUAAAACAAUUGGCAGCCAGUAUUUUGGUAAUGAAGCGCAGCACAUUUUGCGAUUCUAGCCUAUAAUACUUGCUUCCAUAAGCCUUUUUUAACUUUUGACCUCGGAUCAGGUAGGGAUACCCGCUGAACUUAAG
rnacentral:misc_RNA from 1 species